UGAACGCUGGCGGCGUGCCUAAUACAUGCAAGUCGAGCGAACAGACGAGGAGCUUGCUCCUCUGACGUUAGCGGCGGACGGGUGAGUAACACGUGGAUAACCUACCUAUAAGUCUGGGAUAACUUCGGGAAACCGGAGCUAAUACCGGAUAAUAUAUUGAACCGCAUGGUUCAAUAGUGAAAGACGGUUUUGCUGUCACUUAUAGAUGGAUCCGCGCCGCAUUAGCUAGUUGGUAAGGUAACGGCUUACCAAGGCAACGAUGCGUAGCCGACCUGAGAGGGUGAUCGGCCACACUGGAACUGAGACACGGUCCAGACUCCUACGGGAGGCAGCAGUAGGGAAUCUUCCGCAAUGGGCGAAAGCCUGACGGAGCAACGCCGCGUGAGUGAUGAAGGUCUUCGGAUCGUAAAACUCUGUUAUUAGGGAAGAACAAAUGUGUAAGUAACUAUGCACGUCUUGACGGUACCUAAUCAGAAAGCCACGGCUAACUACGUG
rnacentral:rRNA from 1 species